AGUAGGCGACGCCCACCGCCACGCGCAGGCGCGUCGGCCAGUCCAGGUGGCCGUCUUCUCUGACUGCAGUGCAGAUAGCCAGAACCAUCAGUGUCACACUUUUACAGUGAAAUUUUAUGCAUAUAUGCUUAUAUGAUCGUGAAAUUUUACUGUUCUAGUGCAGUGAUUCUAGUCCAUUACCGUGGAGAUGCUCGAAGAGAGUGCCGUUUGGAGCGUACUCGAACACCAUCAUCCUGGUGAAGGGCUGUUCCUCCUGGCAGUAGCCCAGCAGGUUCACGAAGUUCUUGUGGUUGACUCUGGACAAGCUUGUUAUCUGAAGCAAUACAUUGGCCAUUAGUAGGGAAAGAUUUACUGUACACCACUACCUGUCCUUAAUGUCAAUUUGUUAAGUUCUAUGGUGAAUCUUCAGAGAAAAUCGGGACAGUUUCAGAGUAGCAUUUCUCACCUUCUUCCUGAACUGUGUUUCGCAGUGCUUGGACCAUUCUUUGGCAGAGCUCUUGGUCGUCGACACCACCGCGAUCUCGACGCCGCUGGACAGCGUCCCCUUGUACACCAUGUAAUCCGGCAGGGAGCCG
rnacentral:lncRNA from 1 species